rnacentral:rRNA from 1 species
AUUGAACGCUGGCGGCAGGCCUAACACAUGCAAGUCGAACGAGUGGCGGACGGGUGAGUAAUGUCUGGGAAACUGCCUGAUGGAGGGGGAUAACUACUGGAAACGGUAGCUAAUACCGCAUACCAUCGGAUGUGCCAAGAUGGGAUUAGCUAGUAGGUGGGGUAACGGCUCACCUAGGCCACGAGCCCUAGCUGGUCUGAGAGGAUGACAAGCCACACUGGAGCUGAGACACGGUCAAGACUCCUACGUGAGGCAGCAGUGGGGAAUAUUGCACAAGGGGCGCAAGCCUGAUGCAGCCAUGCCGCGUGUAUGAAGAAGGCCUUCGGGUUGUAAAGUACUUUCAGCGGGGAGGCGUUACCCGCAGAAGAAGCACCGGCUAACUCCGUGCCAGCAGCCGCGGUAAUUC